GUUGUAAGGUUAAGAAAUUAAGCGUACACGGUGGAUGCCUAGGCAAUCAGAGGCGAAGAAGGACGUGUUAAUCUGCGAAAAGCGACGGUAAGCUGAUAAAAAGCGUAAUAGCCGUCGAUGUCCGAAUGGGGAAACCCAGUGUAGGAAACUACACUAUCAUCUAAUGAAUCCAUAGUUAGAUGAGGCGAACCGGGAGAACUGAAACAUCUAAGUACCCCGAGGAAAAGAAAUCAACCGAGAUUCCCUAAGUAGCGGCGAGCGAAAGGGGAGUAGCCCAAGCGGGUAGCAUAAAGUAUUAGUGGAAGCGUCUGGAAAGUCGCACGAUAGAGGGUGAAAGUCCCGUACACGAAGGUGCGUUAUGUGGAAGCUUAUAGAGUAGGGCGGGACACGUGAUAUCCUGUCUGAAGAAGGGGGGACCAUCCUCCAAGGCUAAAUACUCCUGAUUGACCGAUAGUGAACCAGUACCGUGAGGGAAAGGCGAAAAGAACCCCGGGAGGGGAGUGAAAUAGACCCUGAAACCGUGUACGUACAAUCAGUGGGAGCUGUUACCGUUAGGUAAUAGUGACUGCGUACCUUUUGUAUAAUGGGUCAGCGACUUAUAUUCUGUAGCGAGGUUAACCGAAUAGGGGAGCCGAAGGGAAACCGAGUAUUAACUGUGCGUUAAGUUGCAGGGUAUAGACCCGAAACCCGGUGAUCUAGCCAUGGGCAGGUUGAAGGUUGGUUAACACUAACUGGAGGACCGAACCGACUAAUGUUGAAAAAUUAGCGGAUGACCUGUGGCUGGGGGUGAAAGGCCAAUCAAACCGGGAGAUAGCUGGUUCUCCCCGAAAGCUAUUUAGGUAGCGCCUCAUGAAUGACUGUUGGGGGUAGAGCACUGUUUCGGCUAGGGGGCCAUCCCGGCUUACCAACCCGAUGCAAACUCCGAAUACUGACAAGUUGAAUCAUGGGAGACA
rnacentral:rRNA from 1 species